GACGGAGGGGGCUAGCGUUGUUCGGAAUUACUGGGCGUAAAGGGCGCGUAGGCGGACUAGUAAGUUGGGAGUGAAAGCCCGGGGCUUAACCUCGGAACUGCUUUCAAAACUGCUAGUCUUGAGUGAAGUAGGGGAUGAUGGAAUUCCUAGUGUAGAGGUGAAAUUCUUAGAUAUUAGGAGGAACACCGGUGGCGAAGGCGGUCAUCUGGACUUCAACUGACGCUGAGGCGCGAAAGCGUGGGGAGCAAACAGG
rnacentral:rRNA from 1 species